CAGCUCAUCCCCUAGUUCUAGGGGACCAGUGAGGGAAAUGACAAGAAGAGAUCUCAGUACAGUCUUUUUUCACACUCAUACUGUAAUUAAGUUUCUUAAACGAGCUUAUUGCUCAAUGUGAUCAGACAAUAGAUGCUGGGUCUGGAAAGUCUUAAGGGAACUGUAUUUCUCUGCAUCUUAAAGACAGAGGAAUUACCAACUGCCUCAACCUCGGGCACCAUUGCUAAGUCUGAAGAAAUUAUUUGGUGCUUUCUUCCUUGAGCCCUACGCACGUCUCGGAUACCUAUUUCCCUUCUAUGCCUACAACUUGAGCUUUUUUUCAGUGUAAAUACCAGACGUACAGCAGACUGCAGGAACAGAGGGAGAACGACAGAGGGCGCUGCUCUCCCUCGCUGGUGGUUUGAUAUCAAUUCAUUUUUCAUUUCUGAGAACAUUUCUCUCUUGCUCAGCCUACAGCAUGAUUGUGUAGGGGAGUUUGGCUUGCAUAACGCAUGAACCAAGAUUUUCUUGAAGAUUUCAACAGAAGAUCAAGAAACUAGAGGAAUAGUUUUUUUCAACUUUCCUGUAUCCCCAAACUCAGUCUCCCACUGCUUCUGAGCCAGCUAUGCUGUCUGCUUUGUGCUUAGGACUUGCGAUCUUGUUGACAAUGCGAGGGACCAAUGGUGACUCAGUGAACCAGACAGAAGGCCCAGUGAUUGUCUCAGAGGGGGCUCUCAUGACCCUGAACUGCACUUACCAGACUGUUGGUUCAGUUCCCUAUCUUUUCUGGUACGUCCAGCAUCUCAACAAAGCUCCUCAACUCCUUCUGAAGGGCUUCACAGCAGACAAGACGGUAGAGCAUGAAGGUUUUCAGGCCACUCUUGUUAAGAGGGACAGCUCCUUCCACCUGCAGAAAGGGGCAGUGCAAACAUCGGACUCGGCUGUGUACUACUGUGCUCUGAGGGACACAGUGAUAGAGCGCUGCAGGGGGAGCUGAGCGCAAACCCAGAU